AGGCCGACUUCCGGUGUUUGUAAAACAACAUAUUUUGCUGUUUAUUAUCUUUUGUAGGUCUUUAAAAAAUGAAAAUGAGGAACGCUUCACGAAUUUGCGUGUCAUCUUUGCGCCCCCUGGUUUGCAUUCUUCUCUGUGCCAAUGUUCCAAUUCUUCCGCCAAUCAGCGGCCCGGAUAUGUUCCAAUUUUUUCUAAAUCCUCCGUCACGCGCUCCGUCCAAUCAGAAGGCUGGAUAUGUUCCAAGUGUAGUAUCAGACUUUUAGCACCAAUCACAGAAGGCUGGACUUGUUCCGAUUUCUGGAGUGUCGGCCGCGCUCGGCUUUUUUUCCGGCUUUUCUCGGCAGGUGCAUCGUUACUCAGCUUGAGCAGCGGCGGACCGACGCUUUUUAUCACGGACGCCCUCCUGCACUACACCUCAGUCUACCCUGACUUCAUGGAGGCAGUCAGGUUCCACCGGGCCUUUGAGGAGGCGCAGGCCAAGUCAUCUCAUCCUGGCCAGGAGGGAUGGGCCCUUGUUGGCUUUGGGGACUUUAAAUAUGAGACCCUGGAGAGCCUCUAUUAUUCUGAGGACCCUCAGAAAACCCGGGUGGACCAGCCUGGAGUUGCCGCUGUCAUCGUAAGGGCAGGGAGAGUCGGAGAAGAACUGGACAGUACUGCAUUCAGUUGAGCCGCCACGAGGGACACGUCACACGCCACCUCUGUUUAUUUUGGUACGCACAACGGUACUGCGCAUGUUGCACAAUUUAUAGUCGCACCCAUGAGUGAGGUCAGUGAAGAGCACUCUUCAAAAUACAUGUCAACACAUGGAGAGCGAGUGGAGAACCAGCUGCAGUGGAUCAUUGACUUUGCACUAAUUCCAUCAUUAUCAUUAUUAGAAUUAUUAUUAUCAUCACUAUUACAACCAUGGGGCUCGCUCUCACAGGCUGCCCUGAACCAGCUACACUUUAUGUAAAUGCAUCAGGCGACAUCCUUGUGUACAGAUUUGUAGUUUUUCUUUCAUGUUCCAGCUGCUAUAUAAGUGCUUAUUUUUCCUUCAAGUGUGUCAUAAAUAAUAUUUAAGGACAUUCCUUCCUAAGGUUGUCUGUGUUCAUUGUCUGAGCCCAGUGCCUCAUCAUAAAAGUCACGAUGAUUCUUGAAUUUGGAUACUUUUAGAAAUACCACUGAGCUGUUAAAUAAAGAUGUCUCUUAA